rnacentral:rRNA from 1 species
GCGCCUACGGGGGGCAGCAGCCGCGGUAAUACGUAGGGAGCAAGCGUUGUCCGGAAUUACUGGGUGUAAAGGGAGCGUAGGCGGGAUAGUAAGUUGAUUGUUAAAACUAUCGGCUCAACUGGUAGAUGCGAUCAAAACUGCAAUUCUUGAGUGAAGUAGAGGUAGGCGGAAUUCCUAGUGUAGCGGUGAAAUGCGUAGAUAUUAGGAGGAACACCAGUGGCGAAGGCGGCCUGCUGGGCUUUAACUGACGCUGAGGCUCGAAAGGGUGGGUAGCAAACAGGAUUAGAUACCCGGGUAGUCCCCAG